rnacentral:rRNA from 1 species
GACGAACGCUGUCGGCGUGCUUAACACAUGCAAGUCGAACGGAAAGGCCCUGCUUUUGUGGGGUGCUCGAGUGGCGAACGGGUGAGUAACACGUGAGUAACCUGCCCUUGACUUUGGGAUAACUUCAGGAAACUGGGGCUAAUACCGGAUAGGAGCUCCUGCUGCAUGGUGGGGGUUGGAAAGUUUCGGCGGUUGGGGAUGGACUCGCGGCUUAUCAGCUUGUUGGUGGGGUAGUGGCUUACCAAGGCUUUGACGGGUAGCCGGCCUGAGAGGGUGACCGGCCACAUUGGGACUGAGAUACGGCCCAGACUCCUACGGGAGGCAGCAGUGGGGAAUAUUGCACAAUGGGCGGAAGCCUAAUGCAGCAACGCCGCGUGCGGGAUGACGGCCUUCGGGUUGUAAACCGCUUUCGCCUGUGACGAAGCGUGAGUGACGGUAAUGGGUAAAGAAGCACCGGCUAACUACGUGCCAGCAGCCGCGGUGAUACGUAGGGUGCGAGCGUUGUCCGGAUUUAUUGGGCGUAAAGGGCUCGUAGGUGGUUGAUCGCGUCGGAAGUGUAAUCUUGGGGCUUAACCCUGAGCGUGCUUUCGAUACGGGUUGACUUGAGGAAGGUAGGGGAGAAUGGAAUUCCUGGUGGAGCGGUGGAAUGCGCAGAUAUCAGGAGGAACACCAGUGGCGAAGGCGGUUCUCUGGGCCUUUCCUGACGCUGAGGAGCGAAAGCGUGGGGAGCGAACAGGCUUAGAUACCCUGGUAGUCCACGCUGUAAACGGUGGGUACUAGGUGUGGGGUCCAUUCCACGGGUUCCGUGCCGUAGCUAACGCUUUAAGUACCCCGCCUGGGGAGUACGGCCGCAAGGCUAAAACUCAAAGGAAUUGACGGGGCCCCGCACAAGCGGCGGAGCAUGCGGAUUAAUUCGAUGCAACGCGUAGAACCUUACCUGGGUUUGACAUGGAUCGGGAGUGCUCAGAGAUGGGUGUGCCUCUUUUGGGGUCGGUUCACAGGUGGUGCAUGGCUGUCGUCAGCUCGUGUCGUGAGAUGUUGGGUUAAGUCCCGCAACGAGCGCAACCCUUGUUCACUGUUGCCAGCACGUUAUGGUGGGGACUCAGUGGAGACCGCCGGGGUCAACUCGGAGGAAGGUGGGGAUGACGUCAAGUCAUCAUGCCCCUUAUGUCCAGGGCUUCACGCAUGCUACAAUGGCUGGUACAGAGAGUGGCGAGCCUGUGAGGGUGAGCGAAUCUCGGAAAGCCGGUCUCAGUUCGGAUUGGGGUCUGCAACUCGACCUCAUGAAGUCGGAGUCGCUAGUAAUCGCAGAUCAGCAACGCUGCGGUGAAUACGUUCCCGGGGCU